rnacentral:lncRNA from 1 species
AUCUAUGCUAAAAUUAAUUGAAGCAUCAGUGGAAUUGGCAGUGCCUUUUGUCUGAAAGAACCAUCCAGUUAAAUGGUUGGGCUGCUCAGAGCUGUUUUUUGGAGAUAAUUGCUUGAGAACUUUUUCCAGUAGUUUCCUUGAUUACAGGGUAUUAUCAUUUUCUACUUCUUCUUGAGUCCAUUUUGGCCAUUUAUCCUUUUUCAUAAAAUCACGCACAUCAGGGCAUUUAUAUUCAUUAGAUAGGACUGUAUAGAAAAAUACCUUAUAAUUUGUCAUAUCCACUCUAUCUAUAGUUUUUUCUCUUAUUUAUUCAUUAUAUUUUCCCAAGAUUUGUCUCUUUCUAUUGAUUUUUUCAGAAGAACUGCCUCUUCAUUAUACUUAUCAGUUCUUUAGAUUUUCUAUUUUCUCAUUCAUUUAGUUUCUUCCUUCUGUUUUUUGUUUUGUUUUUUUGCUUAUUUGUUUUUUCUUUUUGAGACAGAGUCUUACUCUGUCGCCCAGGCUGGAGCACAGUGGCGCAAUCUUGGCUCACUGCAAUCUCCGCCUCCUGGGUACAAGCAAUUCUCCUACCUCAGCCUCCCGAGUAGCUGGGAUUACAGGUGCCCACUACCACGACUGGCUAAUUUUCGUAUUUGUAUUUAUUUUUUUUUUGAGACGAAGUUUCGCUCUUGUUGCCCAGGCUGAAGCACAAUGGUGUGAUCUCGACUCACUGCAACCUCUGCCUCCCGGGUUCAAGCUAUUCUCCCACCUCAGCCUCCCGAGUAGAUGGGAUUACAGGUGACCGCCACCACGCCUGGCUAAUUUCUGUAUAUUUAGUAGAGACGGGGUUUCACUAUGUUGACCAGGCUGGUCUCAAAUCUUCUGUUUUCUUUAGGUUUGUUUUGUUGUUCCCUCCCUGGGUUUUUGGCUGUCAAUACUUAAGUCAUUUGCUUUAUUUUUAUUAUUUUAAUUAUACAUUCUUAUUUUUUUAAUUAUGGAUUUUUUUCUUUUUUCUUUUUCUUUUUUUUUGAGACGGAGUUUUGCUCUUGUUGCCCAAGCUGGCUGGGGUGCAAUGGUGUGAUCUCAGCUCACUGCCAUCUCCACCUCCCAGGUUCAAGCAAUUCUGCCUCGGCCUCUUGAGUAGCUGCGAUUACAGGCGUGCACCACCAUGCCCAGCUAUUUUUUUGUAUUUUUAGUAGAAACGGGGUUUCUCCAUGUUAGCCAGCUGGUCUUGAACUCCUGACCUCAGGUAAUCUGCCCGCCUUGGCCUCCCAAUGUGCUGGGAUUACAGGCGUGAGCCACCGCACCCGGCUAAAUUACCGAUUUUCACAAGGAUUGCUGAGUCCCAUUACCCAUUUCCCUUUCUUCUUUAGUAAUAGGAACUGAUUUAACUGAGCUCAUUGCUACCUAGUUUAAAAGACUAUAUUUCUCAAUCUUUAGCUCUAUAAUUUUUCUAGUUUGACAUCUGCCCCUUUCUUUCCUUUUGCUUUUUUUUUUUUUUUUUUUCGGCAGAGUCUUAUGCUGUCUCCCAGGCUGGAGUGCAGUGGCGCAAUCAUGACUCACUGCAGCCUCAUUCUCCCAGGCUCAAGUGAUCCUCCCACCUCAGCCUCCCAAGUAGCUGGGACUACAGGUGCACACUACCAUGCCCAGCUAAUUUGUGUACUUUUUGUAGAAAUGGGGUUUUGCCACAUUGCCCAGGCUGGUCUUGAACUUCUGGGCUCCUAUCCUUCUGGCUCGGCCUCCCAGACUGCUGGGAUUACAGGUGUGAACCACUGCAUUUUACCCGCCUCUGUAUUUCAUUCAUGACAUUUUCAGAUAUGUAAAUAUAUCAAAUUUUCCAUCAUGAUUUCUUGCCUUUAGAAAGUGCCUACUUUAUAUUCACCAAUGUUUUCUUCUAGCACUGCUAUUUCCAUUACAGUGAAAUCUUCAGUCAUCACUACUUUUAUUUUAAAAUUCUUGGCAACUGCAAAGUAUUGGCUUUUCAAACCAAAUUUUAGCAUGAUUUUUCUACUUGUCCGCAAAAGUAUAUUAGGACUUUGAUUGAAUUUACUUUAGUUUGAGCAAGAAUUGACAUUUUCAUAAUCUUCCUAUCCAGAAGUAUGGUUUGUCUUUCCACUUACUUAGCUUCUUCCCCUCAGCAGAAUUUGUCCCUUCCUUUAUAUCGUUUAUAAACUUGUUCCUAGGAAUGCUACAUUCGUAGUUGCUCUUGUGAAAGGGGUAAUUUACCAUCAUCGUGCUUCCAGCUGCACGUUGUGAUGGCGUGUGUCCCCGCAGCUGGGUGGCUGGGGCUGUUUGCAGACAGCCAUUUUAGUAGAGUCCUUGCGGGUCAGCCUCCCCUUCCUGCAGUCCAGGUAUCUGGAGAGAGUGAGAAUCUCAUGUGAAGAAGCCCCUGGGAGUAGGAAUUGGUGGGGAUAGAGAUUCAGUCCCGAGGAUUAUCUCUCCAGAACCAAUCACUAAACCACCUCUCUCCAAAGAAGCUCUUUCCACCAAAGAAUUUCAACAUCACAUCUAGCUCUGUGGCUCACCCUGAGACCACAUGUGCAGCAGGAUAAUCAACGAAAGGUAUAACAGAAGCUUCUGAGCUGAUAAUGAAGGACUCUCUUCCUCCUUCUGUCAGCCACACCUAUCAUCCAUGGUGGCUCCUGUAGGAAACCCAACCUACCAUUAUGAAAAUCUCACCUCCUUGUCUGUGAAGUGAACGUGACACAUUAAAAAUGAGAUUCUGGAGACCAGGCACAGUGGCUCACCCCUGUAAUCCCAGCACUUUGGUAGGCCGAGGCAGGUGGAUUGCUUGAGGCCAGGAGUUCGAGACCAGUCUGGCCAACAUGGUGAAACCCUGUCUCUACUGAAAAUAUAAAAAAAUUAGCCAGGCGUGGUGGCGCACACCUGUAAUCCCAGCUACUCCGGAGACUGAGGGACAAGAAUAGCUUGAACCUGGGAGCUGGAAGUUGCAAUGAGCUGAGAUU